GUAGGUGAACCUGCGGAAGGAUCAUUGCAAAUCACGAGGAAGUGGUGGGGGAAGUGGGGAUGGUUUAAGGGGAAGGGUUUAAGAGUGGAUCUUGAACCUGAAUCUUGAACGUCUUGCUUCCAUCUCAUUUCCACAUAUGCACAGCGUGCUUGGAUCAAGAGGGUUUGGCUGCAAACGUCAUAGUUGGCACUAUUCUCUUGUCCCUGUCGCUGAUGUUUACGCUUGUUUGUUUGACAAAUCUAUUACACUU
rnacentral:misc_RNA from 1 species